GGUUGUGGCUCAGCGUUAGAGCACUUGCCUUGCAUGUGUGAGACCCUGGGUUCAAUUCUCAGCACCA
rnacentral:tRNA from 1 species